rnacentral:pre_miRNA from 1 species
UUUUUAGUAUAAUUAUGUCCUCUGAGAUAUUUGGGAUAUACUUAUGCUAAAA